GACGAACGUUGGCGGUGCGCUUAAUGCAUGCAAGUCGAGGGAGAACCAGUUGAUUCGUAAGAAUCGGCUGGGGAAACCGGCGAACGGGUGCGUAACACGUGAGGAACCUGCCCCGAAGACCGGGAUAGCCCGAGGAAACUCGGAUUAAUACCGGAUACCCUCUUUGGACCACAUGGUCGAUUGAGGAAAUGGUCCGCCGCUUCGGGAUGGCCUCGCGGCCUAUCAGCUUGUUGGUGAGGUGACGGCUCACCAAGGCAGAGACGGGUAGCUGGUCUGAGAGGACGAUCAGCCACACUGGGACUGAGACACGGCCCAGACUCCUACGGGAGGCAGCAGCAGGGAAUAUUGCACAAUGGGCGAAAGCCUGAUGCAGCGACACCGCGUGCGGGAUGAAGGCCUUCGGGUUGUAAACCGCUUUCAGGAGGGACGAAAAUGACGGUACCUCCAGAAGAAGGCCCGGCCAACUACG
rnacentral:rRNA from 1 species